rnacentral:pre_miRNA from 1 species
AGUGUAAUUGCUGGGACAUAUGGUCACCCUUUGAAGAACUGACACUGUUUUCCAAAACAGCAGCACCAUUUUACAUUCCCACCAGCAGU